rnacentral:lncRNA from 1 species
CUUAUGAAAAGAAUUGAAUUAAAAUUUUGAUUUAAAAACCAUGUGGUAAACUUGAGGAAAUAAAGUGGCUACCUUUCAUUAAUUACCUUGUCACUCUAGACAUUAAGAUGACACAUGGUGUGGUAGGGUUAGGAUAAGGUGGCUAUCCUACACUUAUCAUUUUGCCACCUUAAAUACUACAAAGCCAAAUGGCAUGAUAAGGUAAAAUGUAGCAAAAUAAUGAUUAUGGAAAAAUAAAUUAAUUGCUAAUUUAAUUCUAAAUUACUACUAUAAAUAGGGGAUAGAGUGAGAAAGGGAAAAGCAUACAACAAAACAAAAGUCAAGUAACUUUACAAAGGUAGCACUUUAAUUGUCUUGCAACAUUGAAGGUGAGUAGUCUAUACCUACUUUUAUUCCAAACAUAUUUAUUUCAAUUAUGUUUAUUGGAUUACUUCUUGCUUUUCAAAUCAAUUAUAGAUCCAAGAUUCUAUCCAUUGAUAUUGACAUUUGAUAUUGGCAUUGCACUGGAUAGUGAUUGAUAUUAUUGUUUUACACCAAAUUGGUGUAAUUGACUAUUGAGCUCAUUUAUUGUUAUUUUCAUAUUGCGCGCACGAGUAAGAAUUAACAUCUAUAAUUGGGGCCCAUUGUUUUCCUUACUUAUUCAAAUUAAAGAAAAAUUAUGGUAUAGAUUACUCGUUGAAUAAAUAUAUUCACAUUAUUUUUUUUUAUUUUUCUUUUAGAUGAUCAAGGUCGAAUACAUUGACUUUACCUCUAGAGAAUGGACGAUUUCAGAAGAUGGCAAGUAUUGUAUGUUUGUCAAAGAAAUCUACACGUGGAUGACAUAUCUAGAUUUUUCGGGCUUUAACCACUUUGUAGGAGUCCGCUACCACAUCGACUACUUUGAAGCCACCACUAUGAUAUACUUAUUUUCAGAUAGUUUUCCUGGAGAAAUAAUGUGGCCGGAUGGCCUUUGAUGUAUAAAUUUUGGUACAAAUCGGUUAAUUAUCGUAGUAAGAUAUGAUGCUUAGGGCGACUUUUGCAUAGUGCCACUUUUGGUAUGAGG